UACGAAGGGGGCUAGCGUUACUCGGAUUGACUGGGCGUAAAGGGCGCGUAGGCGGUUCGUACAGUCAGACGUGAAAUUCCUGGGCUCAACCUGGGGGCUGCGUUUGAUACGUGCGGGCUUGAGUUCGGAAGAGGGUCGUGGAAUUCCCAGUGUAGAGGUGAAAUUCGUAGAUAUUGGGAAGAACACCGGUGGCGAAGGCGGCGACCUGGUCCGAUACUGACGCUGAGGAGCGAAAGCGUGGGGAGCGAACAGG
rnacentral:rRNA from 1 species